CCAGGCCUGAAGCCAGGGGGCAGGUCUGUGUUCCCUAAUAAGGAGAGCUUGUAAGUCCCUCCUCUUAAGCUUAAGUGACUUUGAGCUAGUUUUCUGUCACCAACAAUCUGAUGUACUGGCUUAUAUGCCUCAACCCACAAUAGACUCUGAGGGUCCCCACAGGCCCUAUUUAAUUAUUUCCUUAAUGGUUGAUCAUUUUGUCUGUAAAGAUCUUCAAAUGAGAUCGUCUAAUUAAUUGGCAACAGACCCCCAGAAGAUCACCAUUCAUCACCCUUGAAAACAGCCUCACUAUCUAGUGCUGGGAUUAAUAUAUUUAGUGUUGCAUCAUGAAUGAAUUCAUAGGUGUAGCGAUGUUAUCUUGUUACUAUCUGUUUUUUCUUAGGUGAAAAAUUUAGGGAGGAGAUAAUGAGAUAAUUUUUAUGAAAGCUAACUGUCUGACUUUAGGGGAAAGUCCACCAAAAUUUUUUUGACCUUAAUAUUAGGCAUUCCUAAAGCCUCAAUACAGAUCUGUAUGCAGAAUGGAGGGAUAGUUAUGUCCAGGCAGAAAUGUUGUGGUGUCAAGAGCAUACCCAGGUCACUUAAAGUAGUGCAAAUGAUCUGAUCCCUAUCAUUUGUUUGCCAUGUCCACCUGCCUGACGAACCAUGGUGGCAUCAACCAAAUGCUGUAGAGAUCCUUAAUUCCCCUCAGCCUGCAAAACCAGAAGCUGAGCUUGGAGUAUGUGAAAGAGAGAAAUUUGGAGCAUGCUUAUAAGAAAAUCUAGAAAUUACCAAAUACAUCAUUUUCAACAUAUAUGUGCCAAGCAUCACGAAGGCGAAGACAUCUCCAUCUUCUGUCAGUAGCAUUGUGAAUUGGUUAUCUCAUAGGCAAGUACCUAAUUUGAGUCACAUUCUCAACAAACAUCCUAAAAGACUGGAAGCUGGUCUCAGCAGCAAGUGGCGCACAACGUGAGGCACGAAGGAAGGGUCGCCAAAGAAUGACAGUGGAGUUUCAGCGGUGCGGAACCUGGAAGCGGUGUGAGGCCUCAGAAAAUUCCCCGUGUGGAGCCCCUCCAAACCCAUGACUCCUCAGAGGAAAGACAGACAGAGAAGAUGGAGGCUCCUUUGCUGAUGACGUAAAGAGUCCUGAAUAUGCAGUCCCUGAAGGGACAGCUACUAAGAGGAAGGAGCACAUGUGGCUGACGGCACCUGAGCCUGAUGAUAUGUUUCCACCGCCCCCUCUGGUCCCAUUCCUUCCCUGACUCCGGUUCCGGAGUUUGUUGGCAGCGCCAUAGCUAAGCGUCCUCCGGCUUCCGCACUUUCACCCUUACAAAUGGGGAUUAGACCAGCAGUAAAGGAGGGAGAUGUGGAAGCUCU
rnacentral:lncRNA from 1 species